rnacentral:rRNA from 1 species
CAUGCAUGUCUCAGUACAAGCAUCCUUGUACCGUGAAACUGCGAAUGGCUCAUUACAACAGUUAUAGUUUAUUUGAUCGUGCGGAGCUACGUGGAUAACCGUAGGAAUUCUAGAGCUAAUACAUGCACCGUCGCCGAAGAUCUUUGGUUAGACUUCGGCGGGAUUUAUUAGAUCAAAAACCAAUCGCUUCUUUCGUUUUUUUCGAGUAGAGGCGUGGUGGGAUGAAUCAUAAUAACUUAAUCGAAUCGUAUGGCCAACAUUAGGCCGACGAUAAAUCAUUCAAAUUUCUGCCCUAUCAACUUUCGAUGGUAGGGUAGUGGCCUACCAUGGUGUUGACGGGUGACGGAGAAUUAGGGUUCGAUUCCGGAGAGGGAGCCUGAGAAACGGCUACCACAUCCAAGGAAGGCAGCAGGCGCGCAAAUUACCCAAUCCUGAUUCAGGGAGGUAGCGACAAGAAAUAACGAUAGUGGGCUCGUUCGAGUCCGCGCAUCGGAAUGAGGAUAAUUUACACCCCUUCUCGAGGAUCCAUUGGAGGGCAAGCCUGGUGCCAGCAGCCGCGGUAAUUCCAGCUCCAAUAGCGUAUACUAAAGUUGUUGCAGUUAAAAAGCUCGUGGUCGAAUGAAGGUUUCUUGUAUAGCGCGGACGUCUAGGUGUAACUUAGAUUAGUUUGCGCACAAGAACCUCCCUUGUGUGUCUCAGAGGAGCAAAUAUUUAUUUAUUUUGAUCCAUUUGCGACACACACAUUACUGUGAACAAAAUAGAGUGUUCAUGGCAGGUCAAUUUA